rnacentral:rRNA from 1 species
UACGAAGGGUGCAAGCGUUACUCGGAAUUACUGGGCGUAAAGCGUGCGUAGGCGGUUUGUUAAGUCUGAUGUGAAAGCCCUGGGCUCAACCUGGGAAUGGCAUUGGAUACUGGCAACCUAGAACGUGGUAGAGGGUGGCGGAAUUCCCGGUGUAGCAGUGAAAUGCGUAGAUAUCGGGAGGAACAUCCGUGGCGAAGGCGGCCACCUGGACCAACAUUGACGCUGAGGCACGAAAGCGUGGGGAGCAAACAGG